rnacentral:hammerhead_ribozyme from 1 species
AUCCAUCUGAUGACUCCCAAAUAGGACGAAACGCGCGUCAAACUGAAU